UGAGUAAUGCCUGGGAAUAUGCCUUAGUGUGGGGAUAACUAUUGGAAACGAUAGCUAAUACCGCAUAACGUCCUUGUUCAUUACGAGCGGGACCAAAGAGGGGACCUUCGGGCCUCUCGCGCUAAGAUUAGCCCAGGUGGGAUUAGCUAGUUGGUGAGGUAAAGGCUCACCAAGGCAACGAUCCCUAGCUGGUCUGAGAGGAUGAUCAGCCACACUGGAACUGAGACACGGUCCAGACUCCUACGGGAGGCAGCAGUGGGGAAUAUUGCACAAUGGGGGAAACCCUGAUGCAGCCAUGCCGCGUGUAUGAAGAAGGCCUUCGGGUUGUAAAGUACUUUCAGUUGUGAGGAAGGGUGUGUAGUUAAUAGCUGCAUGCCUUGACGUUAGCGACAGAAGAAGCACCGGCUAACUCCGUG
rnacentral:rRNA from 1 species